GCAAGUCGAGGGGUAACAGAGGUAGCUUGCUACUUGCUGACGACCGGCGCACGGGUGAGUAACGCGUAUACAAUUUACCUUUUACAGGGGGAUAGCCCAGAGAAAUUUGGAUUAAUACCCUAUGGUAUUAUUAAUUGGCAUCAAUAAAUAAUUAAAGCUUCGGUGGUAAAGAUGAGUAUGCGUCCUAUUAGCUUGAUGGUAAGGUAACGGCUUACCAUGGCUACGAUAGGUAGGGGCCCUGAGAGGGGGAUC
rnacentral:rRNA from 1 species